UGACACGUGACGACCUUGUGGUAGAUAUUUAAAUCUGAAAAGUUCAAGUACGAAGGCUGUAACUACGUCACAGUCACUAACAUGGGGGAUGUCCAUUGAAAAAAUGUGGGAGUGAAACCCUAGAGGGCCGUUGGAAUUAAAGUUUAACAAACAUAGCGAGACGGAAUGGAGCAGAAGCCUUUCGGGAUAAGGACACACUCGAAUAUGAGUGUAACCCUUCAAACGACAGCUCCAACUUCUAUUGGUACAGGGACAAACUUUUAUAACUGUAACUGAG